CCAAUCUGCACCCUUUCAUGGCUUCUUUACUGCUUUGCACACUGAGAGAAAAGUAGCCCCAACUCAUAGGAUUUUGUGAGUUGAAUGCGUUAGUGAAUGUGAAUGAGUCCGUCUUCCUGAAGCAUACUAAAUACCGUCGAGGUGCUUCUCGCUGAUGUUCACUGCACUCAGCGUUCUCCGGGUAACACUCAGCUGUUCUUCAACCACGGUCUGCGCUUGCGUUGUGCCUCCUCAGGUCCUGAGUCCCUCCCGGGAGAGGCCGGCGGGAAGGCUAACCGUGGCACUCACGUGACUGAGGACGCGGAGCCGGCCCUGCAGAACAUUACCGGAAGUGGUCGGCGGCUUCCGGUCUCCAGUACUAGGAUGGAACCCAGGCCUUCACACAGAGCUGCAUCCCUCGUCCCUACCCCUAUCCCCCAGUCUUUUUAAACUUUGAGAGAGUAUCUCACUGAAUCAGUUGCCCAGGCUGGGCUUCACCUUGCAAUCCUCCUGUCUCAGCCUGCCAGAGUGCUGGUCCACAGUUUGAAGAAUCAGCCCACAGCCUUUCCUGACCCCAGGAGUGUGUCAUUUCUGUACUACUCUACCCUUCGGGAUUGAACUCAGGACCUCGUGCUUGUGAGGCAGGCAUGGUGCCACUGAGAUGCUGGCAAUUCUUAGCUCGUUCUAUGCGAGAGUCUGGAAUCUCUGCUGGACCCAACACAUGGUAUCAUUUGGCGAGCUAGUCAGGAGACAUCAGCAGCCAGAAGCAGCCCAGCCAGAAAGGAAGACCUACCACAUGAAACACUUCAUCUAUUCCUUCUGAAUCCCCAUGCCAAUGCCUCCUCACUCACUGAGAAAAGAGAUCUGCUACCCUUUGGCAGCCCAAUAUAAUGCCAUGCUUCACUCAGGUCUUUAUUGUAAUAAAC
rnacentral:lncRNA from 1 species